rnacentral:tRNA from 1 species
UGUUCUGUGGCUUAGUUGGUUAAAGCGUUGGUCUAGCGAAUACGGAGUCGUGGGUUCAAAUCCCACCAGAACGA